AUCGAACGCUGGCGGCAUGCCUUACACAUGCAAGUCGAACGGUAACAGGUCUUCGGAUGCUGACGAGUGGCGAACGGGUGAGUAAUACAUCGGAACGUGCCCGAUCGUGAGGGAUAACGAGGCGAAAGCUUUGCUAAUACCGCAUACGAUCUACGGAUGAAAGCGGGGGAUCUUCGGACCUCGCGCGGACGGAGCGGCCGAUGGCAGAUUAGAUAGUUGGUGGGAUAAAAGCUUACCAAGCCGACGAUCUGUAGCUGGUCUGAGAGGAUGAUCAGCCACACUGGGACUGAGACACGGCCCAGACUCCUACGGGAGGCAGCAGUGGGGAAUUUUGGACAAUGGGCGAAAGCCUGAUCCAGCCAUGCCGCGUGCAGGAUGAAGGCCUUCGGGUUGUAAACUGCUUUUGUACGGAACGAAAAGCCUCUUUCUAAUAAAGAGAGGUCAUGACGGUACCGUAAGAAUAAGCACCGGCUAACUACGUG
rnacentral:rRNA from 1 species